GUAAUCACUUCCAAAGGUGAUUCUAACAUGCAUUGACUCGGGUGUGAAUACUUAUGUAAUUGAUGUUACAGGUUUUGUUUUUUUUGUUUAUAUUUCGAGGUAAUACCUUACCACGAAGGGCGCACCGAUUGUACACUACAAUACAUAAAAGUAUGUUAUGUAGUGCAGCUCUAGCAGGGCAGAAAUUUGACUAACUUGUUGGAAAGGUUGCAUCCUAUGACUACCAUGUUGAAAGUCACUGAGCUCUUCAGUAUGGGCCAUUCUACUGCCAAUGUUUGCCGAUUUAUUUAUUUUUGCCAACUUGUAUUUAUUUAUGUAUUUCUGUCACUGAGCAUGUCUACACGACGAGUGUCGGUGUCUGAGCUUCUUCGAGAGGAGGCUGAUCGUCUUGAAGAAAUAGAGCACUCAAGUUCAUCUGGAACCUCAUCUGGCACUUCAGGGGGUCAAGUAGGCCUACACCCUGUUGAUGGACAUCUGUGAAAACCUCCUACAUUGUGCGCACGACCCAGAAUACCCUGGAAGCCUACCGCUACAUUGACUGUGGUUCCAACUCCACGGUUCACCAGUCCUCACGGCGAC